ensembl:lncRNA
UGAACAUCAAGAAAAUGAUUAUUAUUCAUUUAUUAUUAAUGUAUUAUUACUUAUUACAAGUGUAUUAUUACUUUUGUUUUUUAUUAAUGGACUAUUACGGUAGUAAUUGGGCAUAAGAUGGAAUAAGAAACGUGCAGACUGUUGAAUAUUCACUAAAAAGGCCUACUGCAAUUGCAUAUUAAAUCCGUUGCGUGAUACUAUAAUUAAUUUUUUUUUAAACAUACAUCAGCACAGGACUACAAUUACUUCAACCAUAAUUGAUAACUUAAGCAAAUAUUAAAUAAUCAACCAUUUGUUUCAAUGUGCAAUACAAGUUCAAAUGAAAUGUCAUGUGGUUGACUAGGCGUCUACAUUUCAUAUCCCAAUAGCAAAACAUUUAGUAAUUUCAACUAUUGAUCUAACAUUGUUGUUUGUGGAAUCGAAUCAUAUGUUGCAAAACAGAAUUCUUACAAAGUGGGGUUAAGUAAAAAUCUUACUAUAUAGCCUAACGGACUGACAUUGAGCCAACAAUCCUCAGGUGAGUAUUCAUUUAAUUUACCAAUGCUACUUUAUUGAGCCAACUCCUGGGUGUGAGUGCGAUAGAAUGACGACUGGGAACAUCAAGUCUUGUCUCAAUCGAUUUAUUGUAUCGAUAACAUUUCAUGUUUAAGUGUGAAAAAAAGGUCCAUUCAACAGCAUUUGUUUCUUAUUUUCCCCAAAAUGUUUUCACCAAAAAUGUUUUCACCAGCUCUCCAGAACAAUUUAAACGUGGGUCGAAUCUCUCACAUUGGUCUGGACAAAUUAUUUAAUAUGGCGCAACACCUUUUUUAAGAGCAAUUAAGCCUAACUGUGAUUACGCUUGUAAAGAAAAGUGUUGCUCUUCGGUACCCGUUCAUUUGGGGAAUAGUUUUCUGCGUCAUUUAAACGUCUGCCUUUUACGAGCUCUACGUGGCGGCUGUGUAACCCCGCAUUUUUGAGUAUUUUCUUUCCAGAUUGUUGCGAUUUUCCUGCGGUUUUAACACGGGGACGGAGAGAGGCUGGCGCAGACCCCGGAGGAGAGCACCCCAUCCGGGAUUCGAACCAACCCAGCUCCAACUCCUGCCACAGGAUCAAACACCUUAGCCGCUGGGUUACCUACUGCCAGGAGGAAGGAAGUGUGGGAUGGAGGAAGUGGUACUCACUAAGCAAGCAGCGAGACGUCCUUUACAGUGGUGCCAUGACCCGGAUCUACAUUGGUGCUCAGCUCAACGCUGGGUUUGCUGUUGAGGAAGUUUGAGGGGUGAAUGUAGCACAUGGGGAUGUGUGAAACUUACUCCACAGCCUGAAGUGUCUCACCUCAAUGGCAAGCUUUUUGAGGGAUCGGCUAAGAUGCUUGAGGAGAGCGGCCACAUGUGUUUGUGAGGCAGAGAUCCCGAGUUCGAGCCUGGUAUGGAAGUGGUACUCGCUAAGCAACAGCGUGGCGUCCUUUACAUAUACACUGAAUAUACAAAACAUUAGGAACAUCUGCUCUUUCCAUGAGACUGACCAGGUGAAAGAUAUGAUCCCUUAUUGAUGUCACUUGUUAUAUCCACUUCAAUCAGUGUAGAUGAAGGCUAUAUCUUUUUAAGCCAUGAGACGGAUGGUGUAUGUGUGCCAUUCAGAGGGUCAAUGGACAAGACAAAAGAUGUAAGUGCCUUUGAAUGGGGUAUGGUAGUAGGUGCCAGGCACACCGGUGUGUGUCAAGAACUGCAACGCUGCUGGGUUUUUCACACCCGACAGUUUCCCAAGUGUAUCAAGAAUGGUUCACCACCCAAAGGACAUCCAGCCAACUUGACACAACUGUGGGAAGCAUUGGAGUCAACAUGGGCCAGCAUCCCUGUGGAAUGCUUUUGACACCUUGUAGCGUCCAUGCCCCAAUGAACUGAGGAUGGUCUGAGGGCAAAAAAACAGGGGGAAGCAACUCAAUAUUAGGAAGGUGUCCUUAUUGUUUUGUACAUAGUGUAUAUGUAGCAUAUAUACUGAACAAAAAUAUAAAUGCAUCAUGCAACAAUUUCAAAGAUUUUACUGAGUUACAGUUCAUAUAAGGAAAUCAGUCAAUUGAAAUACAUGAAUUAGGCCCUAAUCUAUGGAUUUCACAUGACAGGGAAUACAGAUAUGCAUCUGUUGGUUACAGAUACCUUGAAAAACUUGGCUUGGAUCAGAAAACCAGUCAGUAUCUGGUGUGACCACCAUUUGCCUCAUGCAGCACGACAUCUCCUUCGCAUAGAGUUGAUCAGGCUGUUGAUUGUGGCCUGUGGAAUGUUGUCCCACUCCUCUUCAAUGGCUGUGCAAAGUUGCUGGAUACUGGUGGGAACUGGAACAUGCUGUCAUACACAUAAACCCAGAAAAUCCCAAACAGGCUCAAUAGGUGACAUGUCUGGUGAGUAUGCAGGCCAUGGAAGAACUGGGACAUUUUCAGUUUUCAGGAAUUGUGCACAGAUCCUUGCUAUAUGGAGCUGAGCAUUAUCAUGCUGUAACAUGAGGUGAUGACGGUGGAUGAAUGGCACGACAAUGGGCCUCAGUAUCUCAUCAUGGUAAUGCAAUUGUGUUCAUUGUCCGUAGCUUAUGCCUGCCCAUACCAUAACCUCACCGCCACCAUUGUGCACUCUGUUCACAAUGUUGGAGGAGGCUUAUGGUAGAGAAAUUAAUAUUAUAUUCUCUGGCAACAGCUCUGGUGGACAUUCCUGCAGUCAGCAUGCUAAUUGCACGCUCCUUCAAAACUUGAGACAUCUGUGGCAUUGUGUUGUUUGACAAAAAUUGCACAUUUGAGUGGCCUUUUAUUGUCCCCAGCACAAGGUGCAUCUGUGUAAUGAUCAUGCUGUUUAAUCAGCUUCUUGAUAUGCCACACCUGUCAGGUGGAUGGAUUAUCUUGGCAAAGAAGAAAUGCUCACUAACAGGGAUGUAAACAAAUUUGUACAUAAAAUUUGAGAGAAAUAAGCUUUUGAAACAUAGGACCAACAUUUAUAUGUUGCGUUUAUAUUUUUGUGUAUGUAUGUAUGUAUGUAUGUAUGUAUGUAUGUAUGUAUGUAUGUAUGUAUGUAUGUAUGUAUGUAUGUAUGUAUGUAUGUAUGUAUGUAUGUAUGUAUAUGCAUAAAUAUAUAUAAAUAAAUAUAUAUAUGAAAUGCAGUACCAGUCAAAAGUAAAUUGUUA